GACGAACGCUGGCGGCGUGCUUAACACAUGCAAGUCGAACGGAAAGGCCCUGCUUUUGUGGGGUGCUCGAGUGGCGAACGGGUGAGUAACACGUGAGUAACCUGCCCUUGACUUUGGGAUAACUUCAGGAAACUGGGGCUAAUACCGGAUAGGAGCUCCUGCGGCAUGGUGGGGGUUGGAAAGUUUCGGCGGUUGGGGAUGGACUCGCGGCUUAUCAGCUUGUUGGUGGGGUAGUGGCUUACCAAGGCAUUGACGGGUAGCCGGCCUGAGAGGGUGACCGGCCACAUUGGGACUGAGAUACGGCCCAGACUCCUACGGGAGGCAGCAGUGGGGAAUAUUGCACAAUGGGCGGAAGCCUGAUGCAGCAACGCCGCGUGCGAGAUGACGGCCUUCGGGUUGUGAACCGCUUUCGCCUGUGACGAAGCGUGAGUGACGGUAAUGGGUAAAGAAGCACCGGCUAACUACGUG
rnacentral:rRNA from 1 species